rnacentral:lncRNA from 1 species
CUUAAACACAACUAAUAAAAAUCCUAAGUUUCGAUACCCUCACAAAACUGACAAAAAUGAUAUCGUCUAAUAUCCUAAUCGGUCCAAUUAAGAUAAUUUUAUAUGAUUAUGAUUAAAAUAUAAAAUAGAUGGUUCAAUAGAGAUCAAUGGUGAUCAAAGCUAUUAGUAUUCAUCUUAGCCAAAAAAAAAGCUAUUAGUAUUCAACAAAAGUCAAAGUGG